rnacentral:rRNA from 1 species
GAUGUUCUGUGAUACAUUUUCUACGAGUCGAGUUGUUUGGGAAUGCAGCUCUAAAUGGGUGGUAAAUUCCAUCUAAAGCUAAAUAUUGGUGAGAGACCGAUAGCGAACAAGUACCGUGAGGGAAAGAUGAAAAGCACUUUGGAAAGAGAGUUAAACAGUACGUGAAAUUGUUGAAAGGGAAACGAUUGAAGUCAGUCAUGUCUGUUGGUUUCAGCUUACUCUGUAAGUGUAUUACCUUCAGACGGGUCAACAUCAGUUUUGGUGCGGUGGAUAAGAACGGAUUGAAGGUGGCACCCUCGGGUGUGUUAUAGCUUUCCGUUGCAUACGCUGCCUGAGACUGAGGACUGCAGCUCGCGCUCACGCGCCGCCCCUCGGGGACGUUCGAGCUUAGGAUGUUGGCAUAAUGGCUUUAAACGACCCGUCUGACAC